rnacentral:rRNA from 1 species
UGGGGAAUAUUGGACAAUGGGGGCAACCCUGAUCCAGCAAUACCGCGUGUGUGAAGAAGGCCUGAGGGUUGUAAAGCACUUUCAAUUGUGAAGAAAAGUUAACGGUUAAUAACCGUUGACCUUGACGUUAACUUUAGAAGAAGCACCGGCUAACUCCGUGCCAGCAGCCGCGGUAAUACGGAGGGUGCAAGCGUUAAUCGGAAUUACUGGGCGUAAAGCGUGCGUAGGCGGUUUAUUAAGUCAGAUGUGAAAGCCCCGGGCUUAACCUGGGAACUGCAUUUGAAACUGGUCAACUAGAGUAUGGUAGAGGAAAGUGGAAUUUCUGGUGUAGCGGUGAAAUGCGUAGAUAUCAGAAGGAACAUCAAUGGCGAAGGCAGCUUUCUGGACCAAUACUGACGCUGAGGUACGAAAGCGUGGGUAGCAAACAGG